CCUACGGGAGGCAGCAGUGAGGAAUAUUGGUCAAUGGCCGGAAGGCUGAACCAGCCAUGCCGCGUGAAGGUCAGUGCCCUAUGGGCGUUAAACUUCUUUUGUGCGGGAGCAAUAAUGGUCACGUGUGGCCAGACGAGAGUACCGUACGAAUAAGCAUCGGCUAACUCCGUGCCAGCAGCCGCGGUAAUACGGGGGAUCCGAGCGUUAUCCGGAUUUAUUGGGUUUAAAGGGAGCGUAGAUGGGUUGUUAAGUCAGUUGUGAAAGUUUGCGGCUCAACCGUAAAAUUGCAAUUGAUACUGGCAGCCUUGAGUACAGUUGAGGUAGGCGGAAUUCGUGGUGUAGCGGUGAAAUGCUUAGAUAUCACGCAGAACUCCGAUUGCGAAGGCAGCUUACUAAGCCAUAACUGACACUGAAGCACGAAAGCGUGGGGAUCAAACAGGAUUAGAUACCCGAGUAGUC
rnacentral:rRNA from 1 species